GAUGAACGCUGGCGGCGUGCUUAACACAUGCAAGUCGAACGAAGCAUUUGCGACAGAUUUUUUCGGAAUGAAGUUGCUUAUGACUGAGUGGCGGACGGGUGAGUAACGCGUGGGUAACCUGCCUUGUACUGGGGGAUAGCAGCUGGAAACGGCUGGUAAUACCGCAUAAGCGCACAAUGUUGCAUGACAUGGUGUGAAAAACUCCGGUGGUAUAAGAUGGACCCGCGUCUGAUUAGCUAGUUGGUGAGAUAACAGCCCACCAAGGCGGCGAUCAGUAGCCGACCUGAGAGGGUGACCGGCCACAUUGGGACUGAGACACGGCCCAGACUCCUACGGGAGGCAGCAGUGGGGAAUAUUGCACAAUGGAGGAAACUCUGAUGCAGCGACGCCGCGUGAGUGAAGAAGUAAUUCGUUAUGUAAAGCUCUAUCAGCAGGGAAGAUAGUGACGGUACCUGACUAAGAAGCUCCGGCUAAAUACGUG
rnacentral:rRNA from 1 species